UUGCUUUGGCAGCACAUAUACUAAAAGUGGAACAAUACAGAGGAGAUUAGCAUGGCCCCUUUACCAGGAUGGCACGCAAUUUAGCGAAGCGCUCCAUAAAAAU
rfam:Nomascus leucogenys chromosome 4, whole genome shotgun sequence.